UUUUUUUUGGGGGGGGGUUGAUUUAUGCCCCUCUCCUUACAGCCCUCUGGAAGGAAAAUAGUUGUACCUGUGGAGGAAAGAGUUGUAACCCUGUCCUUACAGCCCUGUGGAGGUUGUAAGAAAGUCCUUACAACCCUGAGGAGGAAAAAUAGUGGAGGCCUUUUUGUGUGAUGAUGAUGAGGAUUGCUAUUACUAUUUUCUCCAUGCCUUUUUGUCUUGGGAUUUUGGGGGCCCUUCCAUAUUUGCUGUGUGCCUCCCAAGUCCUUUUGGACUUUAAAAUACCUCCCAGGUCCUUUUGGACCUUUAAGGCUGACCCCAUCAUGGGGUUUUGGCGAGUUUCCAAAGGGGGGGGUUGUCCUUGGCAUCCUUUGAGGCUGAGAGAGUGUGGCUUAAAGGUCAUCCCUGCUUAAAAAGAGCCCGGAAAGGGGGAGGGGGUUUACGGAAGCCGAUCUUCCUUAGGAGACUUUCUUUGAAGAAAGAGAGGCUGAAUUUUGGAAAACGGUAUGCCGUUGAAAACGUUCCCCAAAGUUUUGGAAACGCCGUGGAAGCAAAGAAUUUGUGGGCAAAAUCUGUAGGCUUUGGGAAUCAUUCAUUUUAAAGUCAUGGUUGGAUUUCUUUCUUUUCUAUUUAAACAGGGAAGGGGGGGAGAGAGUCCAGACCUAAACUGAAAUGCAACCUAUGGCUUAUAUUCCCCCCCCCCCUUUUUAUUUUCACUUAGAGAUUUUCUCAAGUCUUGGAUGGAGAGACCCAAACCAGCGUGCCUUCGUUUUUCUUCUGGCUUUUAACCGCUAGAAACGGCUCCGGAGAGAAUGGAAAGAGAUUUCCUUGCAUUGGGGGGAAGACAGGAGGAAAAAGCCCAGCCUUUCCUCCCCGGCCAGCAACACCUUUUAAUUGGCGAGACCUUUUGUUGUGUACUUUUAAGCUGUUUCAGACUUGGUGAUCUGUGGCCUGGUGGGAAUUUGAACCCUAUAGUCCAACACUCAAAAAACUAUGCCAUGCUGGCUGUCUCCCAGCUUUACUCCAAGGGAAUCACUGUGGUCUACAUGAUGUUUUAAUGACACAACCAUUAUCUGGGAUUUCCACUCAAAAGCAGAAAUCAAGACAGUUAUUGGCUGGGAGAUUCUGAGCAUUGGCGUCCGAAAAAACUACAUUUCCUAAGCUCUGCCCCCCUCAAAUGCAGAGGCCUGGUAGAUUAUUAUUAAUUUGAUGCAUGUUAAAGUUGUUGGAAUCCCUAACUUGCUUCUCCUGGUUACACAAGUGUAACUGUUGAGUGACCUCCAUGUUAAUAAAAAAUAUAAUAGUAUUCCCCCCCCCCCUUAAAGUCUGUCUGGAGCAAGCAUGAUUUGAUGUUGCAUCUGGAUAGAGACAUCUAGCCAAAUCUAGUGAGAGAUGAAAGCAAACAUUUUUGGGCGGGUGGGGGAACAGGCAAUAUGUCAGCCAGCCCUUGUCCAAAUGUGUGUUUUGUAGGGGGUUGGCUCUUUGUUUGAAAUGGGACAAAAGUUUGGCUGUUGGGGCUAGAACAGUGAACACAGUCUGCAGGCUGUGGAUGGGAGGAGAGCCUGUUUGGGAUGGAGGAAGGUGAGUGUGUGAGUUUGGGGGUAGGAUGGGCCCUGCCUUACAGUGCUACGCUUAACUUUCUUACCCACACCCACAAUGUUUCAUGGAGGCAAUACAUUCCAAGGAGGUCCAAUGCUUGGGAGAGACCCUGAACAGUAAUGCAGGGAGGAAUUAUACAUCAAAAUGUAGAAAAGGAAAUCAAUCCCCUUUUGGGUGCCUCACUGGAAGAAGAGGGGAGUCCCUGAGACACACGGAAGGUGGAGGUUCCACAUUCCAGAGGUGGCUCUAUUCCUGACCCUGGCUGGCAGAGAGGAAUUUAACAGUGAAAAGGAGAAGAGGUAGGACGGGGAAGGGGAAGGGGUGUGAGGGGAUUCAGAAGCACAGUCCUCCCACCUCUCCUGGAGUGGAUGUAUUUACAAAGGAAACUGUGUGGUGUGUGUGUAGCAUUCCAAGUUUUGUAUCCAGUUGGGCACUGGAGGGAAGGGGGAUUGCAUGGAAUGCAAAGAAUCAAAAGUCUGCCUGAGGUGGGGAAGGGCUGUGGAAUGGCUGUGGAACACUUUCCAUCCUGUUAUUGCAUAAACCUGUUAAAGAAUCCCUCCCCUAUUUCUUGAAAGCAGCAUGCACAGUAAUACUAGUACUUGCUGGGUAGAAUUUAGAGUAUUUGGGAGGGGGGUUCCUUUCCCUUCCUUCACACCCAGCUGGCUGACAAAAUCAGAUAAUUUUGCCUUUUCAAGACCGAACAGCAUUUCUUUGCCUUGUCUUUUUUUUUUCUCCUUCCACCAAGUAGGAUAUUUUUUCUCUCUGAGUCAUAGAUCCUUGCUUACUCAAAUGGCUUGGGAGAGAGGGGGAAGUAAAAGGGGGAGAAGACCUGUUCCUUGCCUAGAUUCAAGUUUCCAUUUGGUGGAGAGGUGUGGCACAAGUUGAUAAGAGUAGACAGCAUGGAGAGUCUGGGGAUAAUGGGAGCUUCUGGGGGACAUCAGGUUGGGAGGAAGAUGUACUUGUUCAAAUAAAAGAUUAGGUGAAAUAUGCAAUGGCCUGGAAGGAGUAUAACGUCUUGUAUUCGUUCUCCAGUGAGUGGCAUUCCUGAGGCAGCUGAGAUAUGUACUCAUACAGGAACAUAGGAAGCUGCUUUGGUUCCUAUAUGAGUCACAAUAUUGGUCCAACUAUCAUAGGUUACACUGAUUGGCAGCAGCUCUUCAGGCUUUUUGAAAAUGGAUUUUUCCAGCUCUGCCUGGAAAAAAAUGUGGGGUAGACUCCUAGACCUUUUGUAUGUUGCUGUGGCUCCUGCACUUGUCACUUCACAAAAUACUUCAAAAGUGUUACUUCAAAAGUUGUAAUGCCAAGGUCCCAAAAAUCACUAGUUGCCUCCAUAGUUACACUUUUAUAGAAAUAAUUGUGCAUUUUCCCAUUUCUCAAAAAUAACUAAAAUUCUUACUUUUAAAAUGAUAACUUGAAUGCUUCAAGCUGCAGGUCUGUCGUACAAAACCUAUUCUCCUCCCAUCUAGCACUCUUAUCACCUUGAUGUCCACAAUAGAGCACAAGACACAGCGCAAACCAGCACUGAAUGACGCAGUAUUUCUCCUUCACUAUUUAAUGAAACCACUCCCCUGUAACCUUAACAGUAGUUAAAAGUUAGUGUCACAAAAAUUGAACUCAUCCUUUGCUAAGUUAGUCAUAAUAACUUGGUUAUACUUAUUGCUAAUAAGAAUACAUUACAAGUAUUACAUGUACCUUCAGUGAAAGGAUCAACUUACUCUUAGAGUGGUGCUUUUUUAAAAAAAAAAGUUAUUGCUAAAAGAAUGACCAUUCAUCUGGUCGUCAAGAAAUGUUAUGCAAAGCAUGUGCUUUUCUUUCAAACUGAUAUGCAUCAACUUUAAUUCCUACACCAAUCUUAAUUCAUGCAACAUGAAUUAAAUUGGUAUGAACCUAUCUUAGUUCAUGUGGCUGGGGAAGUCUGGGAGCUGUAGUAAUUUUCCCCACCUGAGCUCUUGAUAAUGUCCAUAACCAGUUUCACAUUCAGGUUAAAGUAAACUGAUUCUCUCAUCUGUUUGCAUCUGAUGAAGUAGGCUAUAGUCCAGGGUACAGUAUUUUUGUUGCCCUUUAACCACAAUAUAUGAGCUGUAAAUAAUAGUCAGUCUCAUAAGGGUACAGGCUAAGGAAGAGAUGGGGAACCUUUGGCUCCCCACUUGUUUUGGGCUACAUACCCUGCUAUCCAUUGCUAUUCUGGAUGAGGCUGAUAGGAUUUGAAGGCCAAAACAUCACAAGACAAAGGUUCUCAAGCUAUCAGCAAAGGAAUCUGAAGGAUGUUCCCCAAACAUGUAGAAAGGGAAGAAUGUGCUUCCAUUUGCUCUUGUACCUUGAGAGCACAGCAGGCAAAAUUUGCUUUCUGGAUUACAGCUUGCAGGACCUCCAUGCCAGUUGGGGGAUUCUGGAAGCUGUAGUCCCCAGAAGUAGUGUUUCUAAGCUCUGAGACUGUUCCAUGCUUAUUUCCAAAGCCUGUCUGGAGCAUAUGUUCCCAGUUUGCUUAGUUGGCUCUUACAGAGAGGGCAAGAUCUCUUGCCGCUGAUGGAUGUAGCAAGACCACACCCUUGGGAUCAAAGAGGGCUGUCCUGCCUUCCCCUCCUGGCACCACCUUUGUACAGGUUAUGAGAUAAAUUUGUACCCCUUGGGGAGCUCAGUGGCGUGUGUGUGUAUAUAUGUUAUCCGCUUGUGCAACAGCAGUGCAUAGCUGUGGGUUUUCACAUUAUCAUUUUGCUACCGCAGCUCUUGAUUAAGGGCUAAGCAAUCUAAGCUUGAAAGCAUGCAUGCAUAUAAGCGAAUGCUGGCAAGCGCCAUGCACAAAAGUCACGUCGUGUGGGGAAAGGGAGGGACAUUGGAGGAUUUUGAAGUCCGAGCUGGUUCAGUAGCUCUGUCAUUCUUUUUAAGUGGUGGGCAAGAGGCAGGGGAUGCUGUUGGAAAAGGUGUAAUUGAAACAGAUCAGUGCUAAACAGCGCAGAGCAGGAAGUUGAAGUGGGUAAAGGCUUUCUGGAAGGGACCCCCCUUGCAGAGAGAGAGGAAGCAAGGAAGCGCACACAGAGAAAGUCGUGAUUCAUGCAUGAUUCACAUGGGUGGGUGCAAUCCGCUUAGGAAGGUCGCCUUGUUUGGGAGAUGUAGGAAUCCUUGCUGAACACAUCUGAGCAGGUUGGCUCUUGUAGGGUUGAAAGAAUCCCUGCUUUCUGGAAGGAUUUGUACCAGCUUGCUAGAUAGCUCAAGACACCAAGAUAGGAAUGCAAACAAUGUAGUGCGUGUCUUACAGAAAAGAAAAAAAAAAGGAAUUUUGGAAAGGAAACGGAGGGGAAAAGGCAAGUCUCGGAACAUCGUUUGGAAAAUCACACCUGUGGGAUAUAAAGAGGACUCAGGUUAGAGUAUAUUCAGUGGUCUGGUGCUUGCUGGAGCAAUUUGGGCUUGCUUUUUGGAAACAGGUUCUAGAGACCUUUGCCUGAAAAGUAUCCUACCUUUUGUUAUAGGAAAGAUUCAUAACGAUGAAAACCUUGCAGGAGGGAGUUCCUUGCGGUAUUUUAACAACCGUGUACAUUCUACCCUGUGUCAAAAAUAGUUGAAAUCAGUUUUAUUGGAACUGUGGAUACCCAAGCUGCAAACGUCAAACAAUUGCCCAAGUUAUUCUUUAAAAAGCUUUUUGGUGGGCUGAACAGCUAUCUCAAUUGAUUGGGCAACAGGUUUAGUUUAUUUAAAUCAAAUCAUGGUUUUUAAUCUAACUGUAAAAGCUCAAACAUAUUGUUACCAAAGUACUGGAGUAUGUAAUUAAGUUGAAAUGGUCUAAGAAAGGUUGGUAAUGCAGAUGAAUGAUGUUCAUUAUGAAUAAUGAAGGUGCACACAUUUAGAGGCAAUCUCUCAGUUUGUUACAGAACGGAGUAAAUAGUCGUUUGUGAAACAAGACAACAUCAAUGCAAAUGAGGGUUAAAAAUACAGCUGUUAAAGCUGAAUAAUAAAAA